GAUUAACGCUGGCGGCGUGCAUAACACAUGCAAGUCGAACGAUGAAACUUAAAUGAUUUCUUCGGAAUGAACUUAAGUGGAUUAGUGGCGGACGGGUGAGUAACGCGUGAGUAACCUGCCUUACACACGGGGAUAGCCGUUGGAAACGACGAAUAAUACCCUAUGAAACUAUCACUUCGCAUGACGCGAUAGUCAAAGUGUUAGCGGUGUAAGAUGGACUUGCGUCUGAUUAGCUAGUUGGUGAGACAAAAGCCCACCAAGGCAACGAUCAGUAGCCGGCUUUGAAGAGUGUACCGGCACCUUAGGACUGAGACAAGGCCCAGACUCCUACGGGAGGCAGCAGUGGGGAAUUUUGCACACUGCGGGAAACCCGGAUGCAGCGACGCCGCGUGAUUUAGAAGGCCUUCGGGUUGUAAAAAUCUUUUGUAUAGGAAGAAAAUGACAGUACUAAACGAAUAAGGUCCGGCUAAUUACGUG
rnacentral:rRNA from 1 species